rnacentral:rRNA from 1 species
GACGAACGCUGGCGGCGUGCUUAAUACAUGCAAGUCGAACGGAAAGGCCAUGCUUUUGUGGGGUGCUCGAGUGGCGAACGGGUGAGUAACACGUGAGUAACCUGCCCUUGACUUUGGGAUAACUUCAGGAAAAUGGGGCUAAUAUCGGAUAGGAGCUCCUGCUGCAUGGUGGGGGUUGGAAAGUUUCGGUGGUUGGGGAUGGGAUAGCGGGUUAUCAGCUUGUUGGUGGGGUAGUGGCUUACCAAGGUUUUGAAGGGUAGGCGGCCUGAGAGGGUGAGCGGCGACCCUGAGACUGAGAGGCGGCCGAGGCUGCUACUGGUGGGAGCAGGGGGAAAUACUGAACAAGGGGCGGAAGGCUGAUGCAGAAGCUCCGCGUGCGGUAUAACGGUGUUCUGGUUGUAAACCGAUUGCGCAUGUAACGAUGCGUGAGUGACGGUAAUGUGUAAAGAAGCCCCGGCUAACUACGUG